CCUAAGGAGAAGGGACCUUCUGACCCCACGCUUUGCUUUGCUAACAGAUUCACUGUCUCCUGAGAGACUCCUCCUGAGAGUGUGGUACCCACUGGGUUGUCCGUUAAGGAAGCCUGAGGAUUUAAGCCAUUUUUUGGUUGCCAGACCAUUGCCUUCCUCUAGCUCUCUAGCUCAUGCCUCCCUCAUCUUCUUCCUCUCUGGUUUGGCAGUGGAUAAGAAAACCAGGUUGUUGGUAUUUACCACACUAGCAGUCUGUGAUUAGCGUUGGGGAACAGGAGGGGCUUGAAAACAAAUUAAAUCUGUCUUGCUUUCUGAAUAUUUGACCACAGCUCUAAAAUGCUGCAGUUGCAGGUCAGAAGCUUUUUGUCAGGUGCUGCACCAGCACAGAAUAGAAACAUGGGGCUAUCUCAAAGAGUUUGCAGUCUAAACAUUGAUCUAGAAAGAGAAGGUUGCAAACAACAAUGACAACAGAAAGAACGCCAAAUGGUGUCUCUCUAAUAAUGAAAGCUGGGGUCUAGAUUACAGAUGAUGCAACUACAGCGAGAUGUGAUCAGCCAGCACGUGCUUCCUUCCUGCCAGCUCUGCCGUGGGAGUGCUCACUGAAGCCACAGGCAGGGCAGAGAGCUGCAGGGCACAACCGAAACAGUCAAAGUUUCAGGAGUCAAAGCUGUAGGAGGUGACUUUCAGGCACUCUCGGGCAAGGUGUUGUCUCCAGAAGGCAGGCACACUUUGUGAAAACCUCGUGCAAUUCUGUCAAUUGAUGCACUGACAGAUUUCAAAUAUCAUCUAGGCAAGAGCCAGACCAUUACAGAGCUAUGGAAAUUCGUCUCGUCCAUCCUAGAAAAAAGAAAGGCAUGUGGAGGCUA
ensembl:lncRNA